AUUUGGUGCAUAAUUUGCAACAUUG
rnacentral:piRNA from 1 species